rnacentral:rRNA from 1 species
GUUGACUACUGGGCUGCGGCAGCGGUUAGAAGUAGGGUCCAGGGGUUAAUGGGAGUUACUGGUCGGAAGGCGAGAGCGGGCGGUUGGGCAAGACCGAGUGUAAAUGCCCGAGCUUAAGUUGGGAAUUGGUUUGGGGACUGCACGGGUAGAGUGUGUCAGAGGGGGGUAGAAUUCCACUGGUAGCAGUGAAAUGCGUAGAGAUGUGGGGGAAUGCCGAUGGCGAAGGCAGCCCCCUGGGAUAACACUGACGCUGAUGCACGAAAGCGUGGGGAGCAAACAGGAUUAGAUACCCCGGUAGUC